GUUCUUAUAGUUGAAUAACAACGGUGGUUUUUCAGAUCAUUAGUUUUGGUUUAAGUCCAGAUGGGAAUA
rnacentral:tRNA from 1 species